rnacentral:rRNA from 1 species
UACGGGGGGGGCAAGCGUUGUUCGGAAUUACUGGGCGUAAAGGGCUCGUAGGCGGCCAACUAAGUCGGAUGUGAAAUCCCCAGGCUUAACCUGGGAACUGCAUCCGAUACUGGAUGGCUUGAAUCCGGGAGAGGGAUGCAGAAUUCCAGGUGUAGCGGUGAAAUGCGUAGAUAUCGGGAGGAACACCAGUGGCGAAGGCGGCUUCCUGGCCUGCUCUUGACGCUGAGGCGCGAAAGCUAGGGUAGCAAACGGG